AAGUCGUAACAAGGUUUCCGUAGGUGAACCUGCGGAAGGAUCAUUAACAAAUUCUAAAUACACCACCUGUGCACAGCCCCGCGGGGAGUCGAGCAAUCGACACAUUCACUAUCUGAACGACUAUUUUAAGAUUUAAAUUAAAACAACUUUUAACAAUGGAUCUCUUGGCUCUU
rnacentral:misc_RNA from 1 species